AGGAGGAUUAACGGAGCAGGGCGCUGGGAGACGGAUUGAUCUGCUUCAUAGAGCUGCAAUACAGUUUUCUGGUAAUAUUUUGCUGGAUUUGCGGAGGACUUUGCCUCUCUCAAAUUGGAGUUCUGAUUACAUGCACAACUAUGUAUAUGAGGUGAGUGUUCCUUCCCUUCUUAUUGGCAUGUUGAAAAGUGUUUGCAAAUAUCCAUCCAUCACUGCCUAAGUCAGAACUGAACAACUUUCUUUCUUUCUUUUCCUUCUUCCACCGUUGUUCCUGAGCCAUUAGCAAUUGCAUGCAUUACGAAGGCAGGUAUCUGUGGGGUUGAUGAAAAUGAUCCGUGCUAUCUCAAGCAUGUGGGGUGUGUGUGUGUGUGUAGCAGGAUUGUGUUGUGAAGAUUGUGCUAGGAGGAUGAGGCACUGUGAAGCCUGGAUUUGGUAUACUUGAAAAGGGAGAUCAUAUAUGCAAGAGAGACUGUUACCCCUGUGUUCUGAAGAGCACAAGUAGAGGCCAGUGUUUCUCUGAAAAACCCCUACCCCAAAUGCAAGCACAUACAUUUUUGCAGCACUUUAUAAAUAACAUCUAUCUCCAUUUUUGCUUGGUUGCUAUUGCAGCUCUGUAGUGUCUCCCAAACCCUCAACCAUAGGGCCUCUGAAAAUAUACAUUUGGGAUGAUAUUAUUCCUUGCUGAAAGAAGAAGCCUUUCUGAAACUACCAUUAUGCAGAGUGUCAUCUCACACAUUACCCCUUAGAGAAAAACUUACUUCUGGCUGUCAUGCCAGAACCAUAUUGGUUUGCAGAAAUGAUGACAAAGAAAGCAGCUUGACCUACAGUUCUGGGAGAUCAAAGUGAGGAACAUGGUUGCAAAUAGGAUUUCUUCUCCUUGGAUUUUUCAAGAUCUUAAGUUUUAUCAGAUUUCCUCUUUCUCACCCUUCCCUUAACCUCCUUUAAAAAUAAAAUAAAGACAGAAGUCAUAAUCCUUUUGCACUGUAUGUAUACAUUUGCCAUAGCACAACUCUCCCCCUCUGUGGCUAUCUCUCUCUCUCAAACAACAGUGUGUUUUCAUUUUACCCUAUAAUUUGGCAGUUUUGCCACUGACCUAGAAAAUAAAAGUGUUGAUGGCAAGGUUCACGAAAACAGGGAUAUCAUUUCAUCUCAGUUCAUUUCGCUAAAGAAGGAAGGAAGCAGUUUUUAAGUCUCCAGUUUCUUCAACUCAAAGGGAUUCGCUCCCCCCUCUUGAUUUCAGACAUCCUUAUUUCCCCUGAGUAGCAAUAUUGGUCUUGAAAGAGGAUUGUGUUUCCUUCCUCAAAAUGAUCUUUGCAAUUAAACUUUGGCUUUUCCAGAAGAGCCUAGCAAACGGAUGUUUAACCUCAGAUUUAGUGAGCAGACCAUGGACACCCUUGGUUCAGUUUUGAUACCUGAGCCGAAGUGCUCUCCUGUCAUUAGUACUGCUCUCCCUGCUGGGAAAGAUGGUUUGACUGGUCCUUGAACAUGGAGCUUUUAAAAGGCUUAAGUAUCUGGGUGGAAAAAGAACUUGUUGCCCUAUUUCUCCCUGCAGCUGUCUACAGCCUCCUAUGAACAUUCCAGCCUCUGAAGGCACCAUCAUCCAUCUCCUGCCCUCUGCCACCUCCACAGGCACCCAGGCACUCUCCCUCACCCCCAGUGUUCCUUCCAUUUCUCCUGCACUGCUGCUUCAAGCAUCUUGCUCAGAAUGACUAAGACCUGAUAGCCCUUUGCCACCUUGUUGUCUGUUGUGGGCCUUGCUGCAGUUGCAAUCCCCCCAGGCCAGGACUUAGCACAACGGUUACCAGAAAUGGCCAGAUCUGCUUUGAAUAGGGCAGAGUGGAAGAAACACCUGUUCUGGAGCACAGCGAAACAGGUUCUCUAGAUCUACUAGCCAUAAAGGCUAUGCUGUGCCUCCACAGUGAGAGGCUGUACGCUUCUGAAUAUUAGUUGCUUGAAACCACAGGAGACAAGAGUGUCCUUGCAGCUGGGUCUUGCUUGGGGGCUUCCCAGUAGAGACAUGUGGUUGGCCACUGUGAGUACAGGAUGCUGGACUAGAUGGGCCAUUGGCCUGAUCAAGAAAGCUCCUAUUUAUGUUCUUAGAUCAGGGUUUCUCAAAGUGGUUGGUACUGACCUCUUGGGGGCUGACAAGAUUGUUUAGAGGUGUGUGUGAAUAAAAGUCCUAAGUGCUGAAAGAGGUUGGAAAAGGGCCCAGAGUGGAAAUGAAGCUUAUGAGAUAUGGUGUGAAAAAUGUAGGAACUAGAAAUAGGAUAUAAAAGACACGGGCAUGUACAGAGUGUAUCUCCCUUGCCCGCGAGGAACUUCUGUAUUUAAUAAGGUGAUUCCAAAAUACAACAGCAUUCAUUAUUUUCCUUCCUGGUGGUGGUGACUGGUGAUAUUUCUUGGCUUUAUUCAAUUUACAUUCCUAAGAAUUUGGGCUGUGGUCAAUUACCACUUUACAAGCUCAUAAAGGGAGUCAGUGAACUGAGAAGCUUGUGAAACCUUGUCCGAGAUCAGGGAGGAAGUUGGUAGCUACAAUUACCAACUUCAUCACUGGAUGCCACAAGGAGCAAAUUCAGAACAGUGCUAAUACCCACCGUCAAAUGGUAUUCAGUGGCGUAUCACUUCAGUAUAUAGACAUUCCACAUAGCCUUCGCAACUAAUAGGCAACAGAACAGGAGGGCUUCCAGAAAGCAUUUGGUAGACCAUCAUGGACCUCAAGGUGGAGUAGACGAACUGUUUACAUCACCUAACAGAGAAUAGAACUCCCAUAUUCAGGGGCUGUGUACCUUAAGAGCACCAGAUUCUGAUGAACAAUUAAAAAGGAGAGUCCUUUUCCUUUAUACCCUGUUCAAAGCCUUCCCAGAAGCAUGUGAUUGACCACAGAGGGAAAUAAGUUGCUGGGUUAGACAGGUGAAAUAUACUCAGAGUCCUCAGUACAUAACAACAGGCCUUUCAUCUAAUCCAGCAGGCCCUACCUGAAACUCUGGAGAGCCACUGUCAGUCAGUGCAGACAACACACAGCUAGGUGGACCAAUGGUCUGAUGUGGUAGAAGCCAGCUCCCCAUGUUCCUCUUGGUAAUAUGACACUGGGCAGCUGCAAACAACUUUUACAUGCAAGUUUUCAUAGGAGCAGUCUAUCUGAGCAGUGCUAAUGCGGAAUGUUGGCAACAGUGUGUUCAGAUUCUCUUUUGUGUCUUUCACUGGCUCUCCAACUCCAUGCUCUACACUGUUGAUCUGUAAGGGAUAAAAGGAUCCGUCAGUUUCACUUCUAUCAUUUUUCCAAUCUGGAAGUCAGUUCCCCACAUUUCUGCAGCAAUUUGUGAUCUUUUUGCUUGUUUAAAUCCUCAUAUUUUUUAUUUUUUAUUUUUUAGCAUUAUAGUGUGCAUUUCUUCUAACACACACUUUUUUGGGUGUGCAGUUUUGAUUAAUAUACACAUUUUUGCAAGCAGUUUUCCUUAAUAUGAAUUCAUGUAUGCUAUUUCUACUAGUAUCCUUCCCCCCUAAGAUAUGCAUUUUUGUAAACAUUGUUAGGUUGGAAAACUGCAUCACAGCAUUCAGAAAAGCGUGAAUCUCAAAGGAUGGCUAUGUUUUGGUUUUCAUACUGUUUCAGAAGGUGGAAAUUUGAUAGAUUUGGCUUUAAAAUGCAAACUGAAUUGAAUUUAUCCCCCAUCCCUACUCAUGGAUAAAACACUACUUAAAACAACAACAAAUCAUUUUGAUUUCACUGUGCUUAGGAUAUUCUCUAUAUUACUUUUGAAUGGUGUUUCUUUUUAACGUAAUCCACAUACUGUUUUUGCAUGUUGGUAGAUAAACAUCAUGUGGGGGAAAAAUCUCGAUGGGUUUGGGUAGGAUUUAUCCUUCUUAUAAUAUGGCAGGAUAAUAACUUUUAAGAAGUUAUUGUUUUAUUCUUACUGGUGUUUUCUUUGAGCAUUUGCAUCAAUAUAUUUUUACAGUCGUAAGUCACAUUGAGGCAUUUCAUGCAGUAAGCAACAAACAAACUUAAUUAAUAAGACGAUAAUUUGUGGAAAUUGCAAAUUUCAGCAAAAUGCUAUUUAUUUAUAGACUGCUAUUUUAUUAAAAAAUAUCAAAGCUCUUUACAACAAAAAAGACAUAAAACCGUACUGUAAAAAUCAUAUUUAAAAAGUUGAAGCAGACCAUUGCAGAAAGAUGUGUUUUUAAUUGCCUGCAUAAGCCCUAGUGAAACAGGAAAGUUUUCAGCAUGAUUUUAAAAGUUGAAACAGAAGAAAAGUUUCCCAGAACAAGAACAACAGAACAGACCUAAGCCAUACACAGCUGGCCUCUUGAUAUUCUCCAGCUGAUCUGUGAACAGAGGAACUGAAGGACACCGUAUCACAAAUUUCUCCAGGUGGAGGAGAAAUUUGUCUAACAGUUUGUUGGGGGUGAGGGGAAGGGGGUCACCAGUACCAAAGGCAGAAGUAGCACAGGUUCUUUUGAGUACCUGAAGUCUCCCCACUCCUUUGGCGACCACUCCAAGCAGCAGCAACUACUGUACCAGCAACCUAGCCAAUAUUUUGUACUGUCUGCAGUGUCCCAGACCUUUAGCCUUGCUCCAAGUCAUAGUUGGGGGCAAAUGACAGCUGCCGCAGAGAAAAGAAAUAGUGGGGAAUAGCCAAAGGAAAUUCUUCAAAGUAGCUUUCUUUUUCAGCUCAACACUGGAAUAGAAUGCCCCAAGGGGUAGUGGGUUUCCCUUCACUGGGUGCAUGGCAACCUAUCAGGGAUGUCAAAGAUGCAACCUAUCAGGGAUGUCAUAGAUGCAACCUAUCAGGGAUGUCAUAGAUGCAACCUGCAUUAUGGAACUUGCACUGAGGAAAGGGGGUUGACUACAUGUUCUCUAAGAUCUCUUCCAAUGCUAUGAUUCUAUCCAUGAUGAGAACUCUGGUCUUUUCUUUCAACUUUAAAGGCAACACAGAAGGCUCCAGUUUUGAUCAGUGCAUUGAGGAAAAGUAUAUUACUUUGGGAUCUUUCCUCCCACUCUGUUUUUAGACCUGGAAAAGGGGGGGAAACAACCCAAAAUCAAGACUCUUGUCUUUUUCUCCUAUGUAGGUCUAAUAACACUUUUCGCUGGAGUGGUGAGGAAUUUAGGUCGGGGGAAUGGAAUAGGACAGAGGUGGAGAACCUCCCUAUUUGUCCAAGGGCCACAUUCCCUUUUGCCAUUGGUUGGGGGCUGCAGGAAAAAUUGGGUGGGGCAAGAAAUGUACAAUUUAUUUUUGGACAGUUGCUUUGGUUGCCCUUUCUGCACCUUCUCCAGUGCUACAAUAGUUUAUUUGAGAUACACAGGAAGCUUCCUUAUACUGAGCAAGACCAUUGGUCCAUCCAUCCAUCUCAGUAUUGUCCACAUUGACUGGCAAUGACUUCCCAAGGUUUCGGAUAGGGAGUCUCUCCUGGAGAUGCCAUGAAUUGGACCCAAGACCUUCUGUGUGCAAAGUGGAUGUUCUGCCUACAAAUGGACUCAAAGGAAUGUAAACAUUGCCAUCUUCAUGUUCCAUCGCUAUGCGGGAGGUGAAUGCAGCUUGGCAGUAGACUAGUGUGCAUCCAUAGAAAUGCGAACCAAGGCAUCAACUUGUGCACAGCUUGCCAUCAGGAUCAGACCGGUGGCUCCUUAUGUGAUAACACUGCACUCUCUUCCUCUCUUUUUAACGUAUGUUGACAUCAUCCACCUUAAGUGCCUUCACUGUGAACAGGCAAGAUAAAUAUAUAAUUAGACUUUAAUAAAUGCAUGCAUACACAUGGACUUUUGUAGUAUCUGAAAUGUUGGAAGACAUCCCUUUGCUGCUGUAGAUUUGAAGACCCAAACAGACAUGAUGAGAAACCCUGAUAGGAUUAUGUGAAGUAUUUCCACCAGGAGAACAAAGGGUUAGUAAUGCCCACACGAUAUAGUAAUGCCCACCAACACUGAUGGCAUUAAAAGAGUAAUAGACUAAUUAAUGGAGGAGGAGGAGGCUAUGAGUGGUUACUAGCAUGACGGCUGUGUUCUAUGUUCUAGUUGCUGGGAAUCACAAGGGAGAGUUGCUGUUGCACAUGGGUCCUGCUUGUGGGCUUCCCAUUGGGCUUUCUGGUUGGCCAUGGUGAGAGCAGGAUGCUGUGCUAGGUGGGCCUUUGGUCUGAUCAAGCAGGGCUCUUCUUGGACAUGUACUAGCAUAUCUAACACCUAAGUACAAGCAUGUCUUUUUCUCAGAUUUUCCUCAUGAUGUUCAGGUACCCUACAAUACCUCUUUGCAGCAUGGCAAUAACGAUGACACUUUGUGCGAACAUGUGCCCUCCUUGUCACCCGCAUGAAAUUAGGCCUAAGAACAUUGGCUACAACCCUGUGUUUUUAGAUAUUCCUAUUAUUAGACAAUUGGGAGCCAGGAAAUAUUGAUGAUCUACUACAAAUCCCCCAGAAAUCUAUUAGUGGAUUAUGGUCAAACUUCUGGCUACCCUUGAUCUUAUUCCAACUAGCAGAAAAUCUUCACACUCAGGCAGAGGGGUUUUUUUUGUUGUUUUUUUUGUUAAAGUAGCAGAACACACCACCCUCAAGAUUUGGUUCAGAUCUGUAGCCGUAGCUUUUGUGAAGCAGACUGAUUUGUGAGUCAGGUCCAAAAUCACCUUAGCGAAAAACAAAUAUCUGUAUCCCACUGUUCACUAUGAGGGGAAAUCUAAAAACAUCUAUCUUGUUUUCCUCUUGACAGAAGUGGGUGAAAUUUGCAGGUACAGGAGCCCCUCCAGAAUGGAUGGAACAUGUCAAAAUUACUGGCAGAUAGCUUUUAGGGUUUUGUGUGAGUGUGCAGACUCCUUGAACUUUUAUUUUUAUACAUUUUUUAAAAAGUCUUAGCUUUUCCAUUUUCUUUUGGAACUGGAUGCAAUUUGCAUGCAUGGUUGACGCUUCUGAGGGAUGGAGCCUGCCAACUUCCAGAGUGACAAUUGCAAUGCUUUCCUCACAAGGCUAUAGGCUUGACCCUUCCAGGGCAGAUCACUUGGCCUCUCCCAUUGUUUGGUGGGCAGUCAGUAUGAAAACUGCUGACAUGAGAGAGGUGCCCCUGGGUGAGAAAUCUGCCAAAGCACAGACAAAUAGAGAGUCUUUAAUUCUUUUGUUUUCUUCUUGUUGUUUGAAAUAGGAUUGGGUGCUUAAUAUAAACAGGAAAUUAUUGGAAAGGGUGAGAGGUAGGAGGAAGGAACCACCCUGUUCCGGAGAGACAUAAUUUGCAAUGGAGCAACAAUUGCAUGAAACAAAAACUAUUUCACUCAACAGUCCUCACCCAAAGCACUGUGAUUGGGAAGCCCAGGUAAAUUCUUAAAAGCUAGGCCUGUUCUUCAAAGCAAACUCUGCCUUCCCCACAUUUCCCAUAAGCUACUCCAGAGUGUUCCCCUUAUACCUCAAUUUAAGAACAGCCCUGUUUACGAACUAUUUGGUAUAAGAACUCUGCAAAACCGGAAGUAAUGUUCCAGUUAGCAAACUUUAUCUCGGUCUAUGAACGGAGGCUGAAUGGUGGAAGGGCACCGGCGGCGGGAGGCCUCAUUAGGGAAAGAGCCCCUCGGUUUAAGAACAGCUUUGGUUUAAGAACAGACCUCCGGAACGGAUUACGUUCAUAAACCGAGGUACCACUGUAGUCAAUUUGGUUUCACUUUUAGAACAAAGGAUGUCUGCAGCAGUUUUCUUCCUGCCUCUUUUUUGGGGGGCCCUAGGCAAUAGGCCUGGGAUCUGAGACUUUUGGGAUAUAGCAUUGCUUCUCUGACUCAGGGUGCCUUGUUCCUAUAGUGCUUCAACUCAGAAAUGUAAACACACACACACUGAAGUGAAGGCAUGAGACAGGAGUUGGUAAUGCAGGUGAGAUGUGCAGGAGCAAGCUGGCAAGCAUGCUCCAAGCAAGCUGCUGGCUAGCUCUGCAGAGGCUCCUUUUAUUAGCAGAAGUCAACAAUUGGAAACAGUAGUGAAACCACCCUGAACUUAACGUAUUUCCAUCUAAGCAUUAACAAAUACAGAUGUCAGCAGGUGCUUCCCUUGAAUGUUCCCCCAAAUACUUGAUUACGUCUGUGUUCCCCACCAUGCUCCAGCCAAGUAAUAUGUCUAGCAAACAAAUUGCGAAAGGACAAAAGGUCAGGGGGGAAGACCCUGUUUUCUAGCCAAGAAGGCAAAAGGUCAGGAAAAGCAGGCGUAACGCUCCUUGACAUACUGUUGCACUUCUGGUGUGAGGUUUACCUUCGCAAAGUGGAGCGUUACCUCUACAACACAAACCCUGAGGCACCUUGAUUUGACUCAGGGUUAUUGCACCCUUGUAAUUUCCUGUCUUUCCACCUGAUAUCAUUUUAACAUUGGCAGUUGUCCAUCAAGUCAAGCACCGUCUACUCUGGCUGGUAGUGGCUCUCCAUUGGGUCAGGAAGGGUGAGGCCUUCCCAUUCCCUGCCACCUUCUGGGCUUCAUCUCAGCUAGAACUCCAGCCAGGCUCUCACUGCCUCUUUGCUUUGCUUCCCUUCCUCUUCAGGUAUAAGAAACUCUGAAGCUUCACCGCCAACUGCUGUGCCUCUGCCCUGCAGUUUCUCAUCUGUUUUAUCAGGCCCCACUGCAGGAAGGAGAAAUGGCAGGUCUUGUCUGGCUGCAAGCUUCCCUCUCAGCAUUUAUCCACCAGGAAGACCUGCUAGCCAGGGCUCUAAUCCUGCAUCCAUAUGGAGGGAUGUACAGAGGGAAAUGGGACUGUCCCUUCACAAUUAUGGUGAUGAUCAUAGAAUCAUAGAAUUGUAAUGGUGGGAGGGAUCACACCCCCGGCAGUGCAGGAGCCACAGCUAAGCAAUCAUAGCUUUAUCAUGUUGUGACGGCUACACAUCCUUCUGAAGAAAGGGUAAGCCAAAGCAUCUAGAUAAACAAACAAAAUGCUCGGUUGUGUAUGUGAGCAUGUUUUCCCCAGUUUGCUUUGGCUUCACGCUGAGUGAUCUGCAUGUACAAGUUAUUAUAUUAAUACUGACUUUCCUCCCCUAUUAAGCUGCAGGGGAAAAAUGGAUGUCUAUAUCCAGAAGGCAGGCUGGAAGCCAAAAUCUAUUUUGGUUAGGUCCUGAAAUUAUUUCCAAGCUUGAAUACAUUUGUUCUCAAAGAGAGCUGACAAAGUAGAAAAGCAAAAUUAAAUGGGUCCAUAGGGUUGUUACACCCCUCUCUCCCAAAUAAAUUGUUGAUAAUGUUUUAAUAUAUUAGCCUAAAGAUUUUCAUUUAUUUUAAUGACAAGGAUUACCAUUUUAGGAGAUAUUCUGGGUCCGUGCAAUAGAUCCUCUGCAAGGGGGAUCUGCAACAAAAUGUUCCAGUAUAUUCAGAAGUGCAUUCCUACACCCUUUUCGAGGGUGUUGUAAGGCAGGAACUUUUGACCCUCCAGAUGUUGCUGAACUGCAACUCCCACCAUCCCUGGCCAUCGGCAGUGCCUUUUUUCUUGAUAAAAAAAGUUGCCAGUACUCACCCCGCAGUUGUUACAGUAAGGGCCUGUUUUGUCAUUGGCCACGACACCAACCUCCCCAGCUGCAUUGCAGGGGGUUGGACUAGAUGACACUUUGGGUCCCUUCCAAUUUUGUACAGUGGUACCUCAGGAUACAGACGCUUCAGGUUACAGACUCCACUAACCCAGAAAUGGUACCUCAGGUUAAGAACUUUGCUUCAGGAUGAGAACAGAAAUUGCAUGACGGUGGUGCGGCAGCAGCAGGAGGCCUCAUUAGCUAAAGUGGUGGUUCAGGUUAAGAACAGUUUCAGGUUAAGAAGGGGCCUCCGAAACGAAUUAAGUUCUUAACCCGAGGUACCACUGAAGAUUCUCAAAGCCAGAUGAUCCCCCCUCCCUCCCAUCCAUUACCAUGCUGCACUAACUCAUGGUUUUGGCACCUCCGGCGGCUCCUGCGCCCAUCCCACCAUGCCCAUUGUGAGCAUUGCCAGUGAGUUGACCACAUGAAUAGCAGCAGAGUGCAGUGCACUGACAGUGACCAGGCGCCGGCAGGGCUUUGCUCAUGCCAUGACUCCCCAUGAGGGGGGCAGGCGGGGAGGUGCCAGUAGUGCAUAACGGUGAGUAUUAUCAUAAAAAAACACUGGCCACCAGUCAGGCUUUCUGGGCUGAUAGGAGUUGUAGUUUGGAGAGCCAGUGGUUCUCCACAUCUAUUUUAUAAGAUGCAUUAUAUCAGGGUUUCCCAGACUUGGGGCUCCAUCUGUUUUUGAACUACAACUCUCAUUAUCCCUAGCUAGCAGGACCAGUGGUCAGGGAUACUGGGAACUGUAGUCCAAAAACAGCUGGUGAAGCAGACCUGUCUGUUACUUCAUUGGGGAUUUUGGUCUUUUCAGCAGCUGUUGCUGCUGCCUGCAAGUUGCCUGAUGUGUCAAGGAUGAGCCCACACCAAGAGAAGUGGAAACUCCACUUCUGCAUUGCAGGGGGUCGGACUAGAUGAACCUUGGGGUCCCUUCCAACUCUACAGCUCUAUGAUUCCAGCAGCAAGGACCCCCUCGCCCCAUGUCUUCAGGCAAAGUACUUAGAGACAGCAAUUGCUGGAGUGGUCAAGGCUGGACAGCAACUGAAAAAACUCAGUCUCCAAAGCAACUUCUCCAGCCAAGGAAAUGACCAUCAUGCAAAUGAAACAAGAACGGUCUGGUUUUCUCUUUGCUCUGCUCUGCUUUUGCACAAGCUGCGCUCCUUGGAAACACCAGAGCAGACACUUGGCCAGGAGACAGCUUUCGUUUGUUAUAAAAGAGGUUAAAGGUUACCAGGAGCACAAAAAGUGUUUUUCUCUUUCAAGAACAAUCCUGCCACUGUGUGACUCACGAUAACAAAGAGCCCAGUGAGGUCUUAGUGCUGACUAGAGAUGUCUGACAAGCCUCAGGCUUGAGGGGUGGGGUGUUUUUAAUUACACUGCGUGGAUGCCUGUUCAAAACUUCCACCUGCUCAAAUAUGUGCAGAGAGCUAUUUGCUCAAACCUCAAGCAGUAUCCUAGAUUAGCAAGCCUUCCACUUUCCUUUAGGGGCUGACCUCUGACCUCCUGAUUUUGUUGGAUUGAAGGUCCCCUCAUCCCUGACCAUUGGCCAUGCUGCCUAGGACUGAUGGGAAUCAAAGAUCACCAACAUCAGGGGGACAAUGGAUUAGCCACACCUGGUUUAAGUAGUGAUGUUUUCCUCUUAACACCCACCUUUCCAUCAUCAACUGACCAAGCAGAGCUGCUCUUAGGCUUAAGGACAAAACAUUACACAAUCCCUCCUAAAAAAGAUAAAAGAUAAGAUGCGGGGAACCCUUGGCCCUCCAGAUUUCCCACACCUGCUCUAAAAGGUGCUUGUUAUGUCUACAUAUUCUCCAGCUGUUUUCAUUGAUUAAAGGCCAUCCUGAUUUCCUGUCUUGGGGAAAUUACUGUCCAGAUUUUGAGCCCCCCUUUUUUUCUUGCUAUUUGAGAAUGACAUACAGUGGUACCUCGGGGUAAGUACUUAAUUCGUUCCGGAGGUCCGUUUUUAAUCUGAAACUGUUCUUAACCUGAAGCACCACUUUAGCUAAUGGGGCCGCCAUGCCGCCAGAACACGAUUUCUGAAGCAAAGUUCUUAACCUGAGGUACUAUUUCUGGGUUAGCAGAGUCUGUAACCUGAAGUGUAUUUAACCUGAAGCGUCUGUAACCUAAAGCGUAUGUAACCCGAGAUACUACUGUAUUCAACUGCUGCUAGCGUAAGAUGCUAGCACUGUCAUUUUCCAGGGUUCAGCUUUCUCUCAAGUCUCCACAAUGUCAAUAUAUGAGUGGGUUCAUCUUGCCUCCAAUGUGCUGGCAUAGAAAUUUGGGGUGUAAGAAGCCCGUGAUUUCCAUUCCUACCUGUAUUCAUCGCAACCAGUCCUGUUUUCUGUUUCACUGGAGUUCAGUUUCUGCCAAAUGCUACGUUAUUAAUUUUGCUGCCCACUAUUUAAGCUAAGUCUCCUAACUUAAUGUAGCUAGUCACGCAACUUAUGUAACUUGCAUACAAUUCAACGUAAAGGAAAUGUCAAAACAAUGUAAAAAACAGUCAGUAAUCAUGCAUUGUUUGCAGACUUCAAAGCAACGAUGCCAGUGAAUAGUAAUCAUAUUCGCUUGACUGAUUUCCAUUCCUGAGCACACAAACUGCUUCAAUUUCUACUCCUUUCUGCAUUUUUACUGGAAUCCUAUGCCAUCCCUAAUAGAAAUGCAUGCACAUGACCACUAAGGUACCAUGUAGCGCUCGGUCCGCCAUUUACAUUAAUUCAUUUCAAUGCUGUCUUCUCAGCUAUUUUGGAAGGGAGAUUUAGGAUGCAGCCCUGAGGAUGUGCAUUUGUGUGUGAGGGGAUUAAUGAUGAUUAAACUGCCUCCUCCAAUCUGCUUGCACCAACAGGGUGGAAGUGAGCCUUCCUCCCUCCUUUUUUAUAGUUUCUUCCCAUUAUUCCCAGUGGGAGAGAAAUUAAUGGGAUGGAACUAUGCCAGCUCUGGAGCUGGCAUGUUUCCCUGCCUGGUUUUCAGGCAUGUCUGAGGUCUUGGGAAGACAUUGCAUCCUUCAGAUCCAAGCCUUCCCUGGUCCAGCCUCAAACCACUACCAGCAUACACCCUUUGUGGCCUUACCAAUGUAGGACCUCAGAACUUUGGAUAGAAAUAGCAGGUAAGCAGAUUUUGGCUAAGUAUUAGGAGAAGCCUCCAGUGGUAAAACUUGAGUGACAGUGGAGCUGACAGCCUCAGAAGGCAGUGGGUUCUCCUUUGCUAGACGUAUUUAAGCACAGUUUGUUGUUGCAUCCUGCAACGCGCAGGGAAUUGGACUAGUUUGCCAAUGGUAGAGAACAUGCUUUCACAUGUUUACAGCAGGGAUAGCCAAUAUGGUGCCCUUGAGAAGUAGCUGUUCCCCUCAUUCCUGGCCAUUAGACAUGCUGUCUGGGACUGGUAGGAGUUGAAGUUCAACACCUGGAGGGCACUGCAUUGAAAACAUCUGCUUCAGGGCCUUGGGUUGAUCCCUGGCAACUGCAAUUAAAGAGUCCCAGGUGUGUUUCUAGGAGUGUACAUUUCGUCUAUUCCCCAAACUUUCCAAAUUAGAACCUCCCUUUUAAUUUGAAGCAAAAGAGAAGCAGUGUGUUGAUGCAGCUGAAGAUCUGUGUUCAGCCAAUCAGCCAUUCUUGCGGGAUUAUUGUCUUUAAAGUGUAGAAUGAUAAACAACAGAUGGGGGAGUGUUUCACUCAAAGGAAGGGCGCACGCCAUGAGAACAAAUCACUGCGCUUUGGAACUGAACAGAUUUUGCUUUAAUAUUGCAGAUCUGGGGGACUCUGAAAUGUGAAGCGCUGCAACAAGGGCUGUGAAAUGUGACGUGUAGCUUGUGAUGGUCACCAGCAAUAGUUCAAGGAUCCUUAAAGCACCAAAGCAUCCUGAAUACAGAG